GCAGAACGCGAAGAACCUUACCAGGGCUUGACAUGGGAAGGACCGGACGAGAGAUCGUCCCUCUCCAGCAAUGGAGCCUUCCACACAGGUGCUGCAUGGCUGUCGUCAGCUCGUGUCGUGAGAUGUUGGGUUAAGUCCCGCAACGAGCGCAACCCUCGUUUCCAGUUGCCAUCAUUCAGUUGGGCACUCUGGAGAGACUGCCGCGAAUAACGCGGAGGAAGGUGGGGACGACGUCAAGUCAUCAUGGCCCUUACGUCCUGGGCUACACACGUGCUACAAUGGGCGCUACAGAGGGUCGCAAGAGCGCAAGCUGGAGCCAAUCCCCAAAAGCGUCCUCAGUUCGGAUCGAGGUCUGCAACCCGACCUCGUGAAGGUGGAAUCGCUAGUAAUCGCGGAUCAGAACGCCGCGGUGAAUACGUUCCCGGGUCUUGUACACACCG
rnacentral:rRNA from 1 species